CUAGCGACUUCAGAGUUUGAUCCUGGCUCAGAUUGAACGCUGGCGGCAUGCUUUACACAUGCAAGUCGAACGGCAGCGAGGAGGAGCUUGCUUCUCUGUCGGCGAGUGGCGAACGGGUGAGUAUAGCAUCGGAACGUGCCAAGUAGUGGGGGAUAACCAAACGAAAGUUUGGCUAAUACCGCAUAAGCUCUAAGGAGGAAAGUAGGGGACCGUAAGGCCUUACGCUAUUUGAUCGGCCGAUGUCGGAUUAGCUAGUUGGUGAGGUAGUGGCUCACCAAGGCGAUGAUCCGUAGCGGGUCUGAGAGGACGAUCCGCCACACUGGGACCUGAGACACGGCCCAG
rnacentral:rRNA from 1 species